rnacentral:rRNA from 1 species
UACGUAGGGGGCGAGCGUUGUCCGGAAUCAUUGGGCGUAAAGCGCGUGUAGGCGGCUCGGUAAGUCUGGUGUGAAAUCCAGGGGCUCAACCCCUGGCGGUCACUGGAUACUGUCGGGCUAGAGUCCGGAAGAGGAGAGUGGAAUUCCUGGUGUAGCGGUGGAAUGCGCAGAUAUCAGGAGGAACACCAAUGGCGAAGGCAGCUCUCUGGUACGUGACUGACGCUGAGACGCGAAAGCGUGGGGAGCGAACAGGAUUAGAUACCCUGGUAGUCCACGCCGUAAACGAUGGACGCUAGGUGUGGGCGGUGUCGACUCCGUCCGUGCCGAAGCUAACGCAUUAAGCGUCCCGCCUGGGGAGUACGGCCGCAAGGCUAAA